rnacentral:rRNA from 1 species
UACAGAGGGUGCGAGCGUUAAUCGGAAUUACUGGGCGUAAAGGGCGCGUAGGUGGUUAUGUAAGAUUGUUGUGAAAUUCCUGGGCUUAACCUAGGAACUGCAACGAUGACUGUAUAGCUUGAGUAUUGUAGAGGGUAGUGGAAUUUCCGGUGUAGCGGUGAAAUGCGUAGAGAUCGGAAGGAACACCAAUGGCGAAGGCAGCUUCUUGGUCCAUAUCUGACGUUCAUACACGAAAGCGUGGGGAGCAAACAGG